GGAAAAGAAACCAACAGGGAUUGCCUUAGUAGCGGCGAGUGAAGCGGCAAAAGCUCAAAUUUGAAAUCUGGCACUUUCAGUGUCCGAGUUGUAAUUUGAAGAAGGUAUCUUUGGGUCUGGCUCUUGUCUAUGUUUCUUGGAACAGAACGUCACAGAGGGUGAGAAUCCCGUGCGAUGAGAUGUCCCAGACCUAUGUAAAGUUCCUUCGAAGAGUCGAGUUGUUUGGGAAUGCAGCUCUAAGUGGGUGGUAAAUUCCAUCUAAAGCUAAAUAUUGGCGAGAGACCGAUAGCGAACAAGUACAGUGAUGGAAAGAUGAAAAGAACUUUGAAAAGAGAGUGAAAAAGUACGUGAAAUUGUUGAAAGGGAAGGGCUUGAGAUCAGACUUGGUAUUUUGUAUGUUACUCUCUCGGGGGUGGCCUCUACAGUUUACCGGGCCAGCAUCAGUUUGGGCGGUAGGACAAUUGCAAAGAAAUGUGGCACUGCCUCGGUAGUGUGUUAUAGUCUUUGUCGAUACUGCCAGCCUAGACUGAGGACUGCGGCUUCGGCCUAGGAUGUUGGCAUAAUGAUCUUAAGUCGCCCG
rnacentral:rRNA from 1 species